GAUGAACGCUGGCGGCGUGCUUAACACAUGCAAGUCGAACGAUGAAGCCCAGCUUGCUGGGUGGAUUAGUGGCGAACGGGUGAGUAACACGUGAGUAACCUGCCCUUACCUCUGGGAUAAGCCUGGGAAACUGGGUCUAAUACCGGAUAGGAGCGCCUACCGCAUGGUGGGUGUUGGAAAGAUUUAUCGGUUUUGGAUGGACUCGCGGCCUAUCAGCUUGUUGGUGAGGUAAUGGCGCACCAAGGCGACGCCGGGUAGCCGGCCUGAGAGGGUGACCGGCCACACUGGGACUGAGACACGGCGCAGACUCCUACGGGAGGCAGCAGUGGGGAAUAUUGCACAAUGGGCGAAAGCCUGAUGCAGCGACGCCGCGUGAGGGAUGACGGCCUUCGGGUUGUAAACCUCUUGCAGUAGGGAAGAAGCGAAAGUGACGGUACCUGCAGAAGAAGCACCGGCUAACUACGUG
rnacentral:rRNA from 1 species